GGUCUCUUGAUGUUUUAGUGAUCACUGAAGGGUGCAUGCUUUUUAUUUUAAUUAAUCACAAUUUCAAGAUGCCUGCUUUAUGUUCGUUUGGUUCCCAAGAAAUUGCAAGAAGACAAGCAGACGCUAAACAUCUGGAAUUUUUUUAAUAGAAUGCUCUUCUACAAUGAUUGGAUUUUGGUUUGAUUAUCAUGUCGCAGUAAAGAGAGGUGCGGAUACUUACAAUUAGAAUUCUGUUGCAUGGAAUCGAUUUAGAGACAGAUUCGAUGAAUGCUUUUAAGUGGGUUACAAACCAGUGUGAUCCCUCUUGGAAGCUUGCUCAACUGUCCAACUCUGUGCAACUGAUCAGGCUGCAAGUCCACAACUUAAUGUUUACACAUAUGUUAAGGGGUGGCAACGAGGUGGCAGACGCACUAGCUAAGGAUGGAUGCCUAAGGACAACUGAUUUGGUUUUAGGGUUCUAGAUUUUUUUUCUAAAUUAUCUAAUGAAAUAAAUUUAUUGGUAUUGUUUCAGAUUUCAGUGUUUUCUUUUAUUGGUAUUGUUUCAGAUUUCAAUGUUUUCUUUUGUGCUUCUUUGCUAUUGUUCUAGCUGGCUUUUUCCUUGAAGACCCUUUAGGAUUGUAGUACUAGUCUGUAUUGUUUCUUGUUGUUUUGCUUUUUCUUCAUGUACACCUAAGGUUUUCCUCCACCAUAAGCGAGGGCUCAUGAAAUAUAUGUGUGGCUAAGCCGUUUUAUCAAGAAAAAAAACUUACAGAACUCUGAUAACAGUUGUUUGGAUUCAAAGACUGAGUUUCGUGAAGAAUGACUCAGUCGAAUGUUUAGAAGCCGUGAUUUAGUUAUUGCGUCA